ACUCAAAUUCACAACAAAAAAACAUGCGGGCCGUUCCUCUCCUCCUUUCUUUUCUCCGGCGAUGAACCGUAUAUAUUAAUAAUGUGUGGUGUGGGUUGUCGUCGACAGCCAGCCAGGAUUCUUCCUCCUCUCCCUCGUUCCUCGUCGCCACCCUCUCCCUCCUCGUGCUCGCCUCCAUCUUCUUCUUCUACUCCUUCGUCGCCUCUCUCGAGAAGUUCCUCACCUCCCGGCGCCCUGUCUCCGCCGGAUCUUCCUCCUUCGCGGCCGACGCGGGCGGAGCCGCGGUAAAAGCGCUCGAUGACAAGAUCUGGGGGAAGGAAACAGGGAGGCUUUAUGGGGAUCCGGCGGAUCCGUGGUCGGGGCUGUCGGUGGUUAGGGUUUAUGUGUACGAGAUGCCGGCCAAGUUCACCUACGAUCUUCUCUGGCUCUUCAGGAAUACCUAUAAGGAGACGACGAAUUUGACGUCCAACGGAAGCCCCGUUCAUCGCCUCAUCGAACAGGUUCUUGCCGAUUCCCUCGCAGAAAGAUCGGACUAGUGCAUUCGCCGGAGACGCAGAAACCCUGGGGAUCGAGGGAUUUCUUGGAGAAAAUGAUUUGAUUUCGAGACAUUUUGUGGUUGUUGAGAUUUGCUGGAGCUAAGUUCUUGCUGAGGAAACCCUCGGAAUUGAGACGUUUUGUGGAGGAAACGCUGUAGUUAUUGACGUACGACAAACCCUUGUUUGAGGUUAUUGCUUGGUUGUCUUUGUGAAAUUACAGUUGUUGGUAUGUGCUGCUUGUGAGGCCGCAAUCAGAGCGGAAAAGAAUGAAUACUUCAGUCCAUACAAGAUGAAAUGAAAAAUCUGCAUAGAUAGAGAGGUGCAGAGAAAGGAGGAAAAGAGAAGGAGAAAUGGUAGGGAUCGUAGCACGCUUCCAAGGCUAUAUGACGAGACCCAACCCUCUCUUCUGGGGACCAGGCGUUGUAGUCCUAAUCCUAUCAUGGAUCAUCACCUUAUAUACUCUCUGGCAAAUGGUACCUGGAAAGCUUAUUCGAUCGAAACCAUGAGCUGGGGCAGCAUGCCUUCGGAGACAAGCUUGGUCUUUGGAUUGUGGUGCCUCAGCAACUUGUCGUGGAGGUGGGCGUGAACAUCGUCUACAUGGUCACAGGCGGAAAAUCUCUAAAGAAGUUUCAUGAUGUUGUCUGCCCUGACUGCAAAAACAUCAAAGUCACCUAUUUCAUCAUGAUCUUCGCCUCACUGCACUUUGUUCUCUCCCAACCGCCCAACUUCAACUCAAUUUCAGGUGUCUCCUUGGCAGCUGCUGUCAUGUCCCUCAGGCAUAUACUCUUCUCUAUGAUGCCAAAGCACCUGAUUAUUCUCUCUGACUCUAUAUUGCUACAUGUUGGGUAACAUUAUUUUAGAAAUCAUUAGUGACAAUAUCUUUAUAAGGGGCUUGGUUAUGCUUACGAUUUGUACUUUUGAUCACUUAAAUGAUGAUGUUGUUGAGAAGCUGAUGGUUACUGUCCCUGGUUUCCAGCAGCUGUUCUUCAGCUGCAAUCAACACAGUAACCUUAAUUCAAUAGAAGAUACUGCCUAUGUUUUCAGGUUUU